rnacentral:rRNA from 1 species
AACGAACGCUGGCGGCAUGCCUAACACAUGCAAGUCGAACGAGACCUUCGGGUCUAGUGGCGCACGGGUGCGUAACGCGUGGGAACCUGCCCUUAGGUUCGGAAUCACUCCCCGAAAGGGGUGCUAAUACCGGUUAAUGUCUUCGGACCAAAGAUUUAUCGCCUUUGGAUGGGCCCGCGUUGGAUUAGCUAGUUGGUAGGGUAAAAGCCUACCAAGGCGACGAUCCAUAGCUGGUCUGAGAGGAUGAUCAGCCACACUGGGACUGAGACACGGCCCAGACUCCUACGGGAGGCAGCAGUGGGGAAUAUUGGACAAUGGGCGAAAGCCUGGUCCAGCAAUGCCGCGUGAGUGAUGAAGGCCUUAGGGUUGUAAAGCUCUUUUACCCGGGAUGAUAAUGACAGUACCGGGAGAAUAAGCUCCGGCUAACUCCGUG